rnacentral:rRNA from 1 species
CAUGCAAGUCGAGCGGAAACGAUCCUAGCUUGCUAGGAGGCGUCGAGCGGCGGACGGGUGAGUAACACGUGAGAAUCUGCCCAUUAGUGGGGGAUAACCUGGGGAAACCCAGGCUAAUACCGCAUAAUCCCUACGGGGGAAAGCAGGGGACCUUCGGGCCUUGUGCUGAUGGAUGAGCUCGCGUCGGAUUAGCUUGUUGGUGAGGUAAUGGCUCACCAAGGCGACGAUCCGUAGCUGGUCUUAGAGGAUGAUCAGCCACACCGGGACUGAGACACGGCCCGGACUCCUACGGGAGGCAGCAGUGGGGAAUCUUGGACAAUGGGGGCAACCCUGAUCCAGCCAUGCCGCGUGUGUGAAGAAGGCCUUCGGGUUGUAAAGCACUUUCAGUAGGGAGGAAGGCUUAUCCUUAAUACGGAUGAGUACUUGACGUUACCUACAGAAGAAGCACCGGCUA